GGUACCCUGAGCGAUUGGGGGAGACCGGCGCACGGGUGCGUAACGCGUAUGCAACCUACCUUAUGCAGGGGGAUAGGUCCCGGAAACGGGAAUUAAUACCGCGUAAGCCUGGAUUGCUGCAUGGCAGACCAGGGAAAGCUGAGGCGGCAUAAGAUGGGCAUGCGUCCGAUUAGCUAGUUGGGAGGGUAAUGUCCUGCCAAGGCGACGAUCGGUAGGGGUCCUGAGAGGGAGACCCCCCACACUGGUACUGAGACACGGACCAGACUCCUACGGGAGGCAGCAGUGAGGAAUAUUGGGCAAUGGGCGGGAGCCUGACCCAGCCAUCCCGCGUGCAGGAUGAAGGCCUUAUGGGUUGUAAACUGCUUUUCUGCGGGGAGAAUAGUCCCGACGCGUCGGGGUAUGACGGUACCACAGGAAUAAGCAUCGGCUAACUCCGUGCCAGCAGCCGCGGUAAUACGGAGGAUGCAAGCGUUAUCCGGAUUCAUUGGGUUUAAAGGGUGCGCAGGCGGCACAGCGAGUCAGUGGUGAAAUUCUGCCGCUUAACGGUAGGGCUGCCAUUGAUACUGUUGUGCUUGAGUGCGGAUGAGGUAGGUGGAAUGUGCGGUGUAGCGGUGAAAUGCAUAGAUAUUGCACAGAACGCCGAUUGCGGAGGCAGCUUACUAAUCCGCCACUGACGCUGAGGCACGAAAGCGUGGGGAUCGAACAGGAUUAGAUACCCUGGUAGUCCACGCCGUAAACGAUGCUCACUCGCUGUUUGCGAUAUACAGCAAGCGGCUGAGCGAAAGCAAUAAGUGAGCCACC
rnacentral:rRNA from 1 species